AAUAUUGCGCAAUGGGGGAAACCCUGACGCAGCAACGCCGCGUGGGUGAAGAAGGCCUUCGGGUUGUAAAGCUCUGUCUUCUGGAACGAUAAUGACGGUACCAGAGGAGGAAGCCACGGCUAACUACGUGCCAGCAGCCGCGGUAAUACGUAGGUGGCAAGCGUUGUCCGGAUUUACUGGGCGUAAAGGGAGCGUAGGCGGAUAUUUAAGUCAGAUGUGAAAUACCCGAGCUUAACUUGGGUGCUGCAUUUGAAACUGGAUAUCUGGAGUGCAGGAGAGGAAAGUGGAAUUCCUAGUGUAGCGGUGAAAUGCGUAGAGAUUAGGAAGAACACCAGUGGCGAAGGCGACUUUCUGGACUGUAACUGACGCUGAGGCUCGAAAGCGUGGGGAGCAAA
rnacentral:rRNA from 1 species